UACGUAGGGUGCAAGCGUUGUCCGGAAUUAUUGGGCGUAAAGAGCUCGUAGGCGGUGUGUCGCGUCGGCCGUGAAAACCUGGGGCUCAACUCUGGGCGUGCGGUCGAUACGGGCAUCACUUGAGUUCGGCAGGGGAGACUGGAAUUCCUGGUGUAGCGGUGAAAUGCGCAGAUAUCAGGAGGAACACCGGUGGCGAAGGCGGGUCUCUGGGCCGAUACUGACGCUGGGGAGCGAAAGCAUGGGUAGCGAACAGG
rnacentral:rRNA from 1 species